GACGUAGGGGGCCAGCGUUGUUCGGAAUUACUGGGUGUAAAGGGUUCGUAGGCGGUGUGGCAAGUCGGGAGUGAAAUCUCUGGGCUCAACUCAGAGACUGCUUCCGAAACUGCUGUGCUGGAGUGUGGGAGAGGCGCGUGGAAUUGCAGGUGUAGCGGUGAAAUGCGUAGAUAUCUGCAGGAACACCCGUGGGCGAAAGCGGCGCGCUGGACCACUACUGACGCUGAGGAACGAAAGCUAGGGGAGCAAACAGG
rnacentral:rRNA from 1 species